rnacentral:rRNA from 1 species
GGUUAAGCGACUAAGCGUACACGGUGGAUGCCCUGGCAGUCAGAGGCGAUGAAGGACGUGCUAAUCUGCGAUAAGCGUCGGUAAGGUGAUAUGAACCGUUAUAACCGGCGAUUUCCGAAUGGGGAAACCCAGUGUGAUUCGUCACACUAUCAUUAACUGAAUCCAUAGGUUAAUGAGGCGAACCGGGGGAACUGAAACAUCUAAGUACCCCGAGGAAAAGAAAUCAACCGAGAUUCCCCCAGUAGCGGCGAGCGAACGGGGAGCAGCCCAGAGCCUGAAUCAGUGUGUGUGUUAGUGGAAGCGUCUGGAAAGGCGUGCGAUACAGGGUGACAGCCCCGUACACAAAAAUGCACAUACUGUGAGCUCGAUGAGUAGGGCGGGACACGUGGUAUCCUGUCUGAAUAUGGGGGGACCAUCCUCCAAGGCUAAAUACUCCUGACUGACCGAUAGUGAACCAGUACCGUGAGGGAAAGGCGAAAAGAACCCCGGCGAGGGGAGUGAAAAAGAACCUGAAACCGUGUACGUACAAGCAGUGGGAGCACGCUUAGGCGUGUGACUGCGUACCUUUUGUAUAAUGGGUCAGCGACUUAUAUUCUGUAGCAAGGUUAACCGAAUAGGGGAGCCGAAGGGAAACCGAGUCUUAACUGGGCGUUAAGUUGCAGGGUAUAGACCCGAAACCCGGUGAUCUAGCCAUGGGCAGGUUGAAGGUUGGGUAACACUAACUGGAGGACCGAACCGACUAAUGUUGAAAAAUUAGCGGAUGACUUGUGGCUGGGGGUGAAAGGCCAAUCAAACCGGGAGAUAGCUGGUUCUCCCCGAAAGCUAUUUAGGUAGCGCCUCGUGAAUUCAUCUCCGGGGGUAGAGCACUGUUUCGGCAAGGGGGUCAUCCCGACUUACCAACCCGAUGCAAACUGCGAAUACCGGAGAAUGUUAUCACGGGAGACACACGGCGGGUGCUAACGUCCGUCGUGAAGAGGGAAACAACCCAGACCGCCAGCUAAGGUCCCAAAGUCAUGGUUAAGUGGGAAACGAUGUGGGAAGGCCCAGACAGCCAGGAUGUUGGCUUAGAAGCAGCCAUCAUUUAAAGAAAGCGUAAUAGCUCACUGGUCGAGUCGGCCUGCGCGGAAGAUGUAACGGGGCUAAACCAUGCACCGAAGCUGCGGCAGCGACGCUUAUGCGUUGUUGGGUAGGGGAGCGUUCUGUAAGCCUGUGAAGGUGUGCUGUGAGGUAUGCUGGAGGUAUCAGAAGUGCGAAUGCUGACAUAAGUAACGAUAAAGCGGGUGAAAAGCCCGCUCGCCGGAAGACCAAGGGUUCCUGUCCAACGUUAAUCGGGGCAGGGUGAGUCGACCCCUAAGGCGAGGCCGAAAGGCGUAGUCGAUGGGAAACAGGUUAAUAUUCCUGUACUUGGUGUUACUGCGAAGGGGGGACGGAGAAGGCUAUGUUGGCCGGGCGACGGUUGUCCCGGUUUAAGCGUGUAGGCUGGUUUUCCAGGCAAAUCCGGAAAAUCAAGGCCGAGGCGUGAUGACGAGGCACUACGUUGCUGAAGCAACAAAUGCCCUGCUUCCAGGAAAAGCCUCUAAGCAUCAGGUAACAUCAAAUCGUACCCCAAACCGACACAGGUGGUCAGGUAGAGAAUACCAAGGCGCUUGAGAGAACUCGGGUGAAGGAACUAGGCAAAAUGGUGCCGUAACUUCGGGAGAAGGCACGCUGAUACGUAGGUGAAGCGACUUGCUCGUGGAGCUGAAAUCAGUCGAAGAUACCAGCUGGCUGCAACUGUUUAUUAAAAACACAGCACUGUGCAAACACGAAAGUGGACGUAUACGGUGUGACGCCUGCCCGGUGCCGGAAGGUUAAUUGAUGGGGUUAGCGCAAGCGAAGCUCUUGAUCGAAGCCCCGGUAAACGGCGGCCGUAACUAUAACGGUCCUAAGGUAGCGAAAUUCCUUGUCGGGUAAGUUCCGACCUGCACGAAUGGCGUAAUGAUGGCCAGGCUGUCUCCACCCGAGACUCAGUGAAAUUGAACUCGCUGUGAAGAUGCAGUGUACCCGCGGCAAGACGGAAAGACCCCGUGAACCUUUACUAUAGCUUGACACUGAACAUUGAGCCUUGAUGUGUAGGAUAGGUGGGAGGCUUUGAAGUGUGGACGCCAGUCUGCAUGGAGCCGACCUUGAAAUACCACCCUUUAAUGUUUGAUGUUCUAACGUGGACCCGUGAUCCGGGUUGCGGACAGUGUCUGGUGGGUAGUUUGACUGGGGCGGUCUCCUCCUAAAGAGUAACGGAGGAGCACGAAGGUUGGCUAAUCCUGGUCGGACAUCAGGAGGUUAGUGCAAUGGCAUAAGCCAGCUUGACUGCGAGCGUGACGGCGCGAGCAGGUGCGAAAGCAGGUCAUAGUGAUCCGGUGGUUCUGAAUGGAAGGGCCAUCGCUCAACGGAUAAAAGGUACUCCGGGGAUAACAGGCUGAUACCGCCCAAGAGUUCAUAUCGACGGCGGUGUUUGGCACCUCGAUGUCGGCUCAUCACAUCCUGGGGCUGAAGUAGGUCCCAAGGGUAUGGCUGUUCGCCAUUUAAAGUGGUACGCGAGCUGGGUUUAGAACGUCGUGAGACAGUUCGGUCCCUAUCUGCCGUGGGCGCUGGAGAACUGAGGGGGGCUGCUCCUAGUACGAGAGGACCGGAGUGGACGCAUCACUGGUGUUCGGGUUGUCAUGCCAAUGGCACUGCCCGGUAGCUAAAUGCGGAAGAGAUAAGUGCUGAAAGCAUCUAAGCACGAAACUUGCCCCGAGAUGAGUUCUCCCUGACCCUUUAAGGGUCCUGAAGGAACGUUGAAGACGACGACGUUGAUAGGCCGGGUGUGUAAGCGCAGCGAUGCGUUGAGCUAACCGGUACUAAUGAACCGUGAGGCUUAACCUU